ensembl:lncRNA
GAGCGCGGUAAAGUUAGUUUUAGGUUUGAUAUUCGCUGGAUAUUCGCCUAGGCUUGCUUUAGGGACCGUCUGCAAAUAUACCUCUCAGUACAGAACGAAGUCCAAUAAUUAAUACAAAUUAUGUUUCCAACAUUACAGUAAAUGUCUUGUGGGCAAACUGACACAAAAUAUUUAGCCAAUAUGUCCCUACUAACAAUAUCUCCCUUACUGUAUAUAAUAAUUCUUUAAAAACAAUUACUGUAAAUCACCAAAAGGGUUUUUUCAUGUUCCAAAGGUUGUAGUAAGUUUGUAUUUACAAGACUGACUUACUACAGGUGAAUUUUUGCCAAUAUCUCCCUUACUGUACGUACAGUACACUCUUAUUCUUAAAAAACAAUUACUGUAAAUCACCAAAAUGUUUUUUUUUUACUGUUCCAAAGGUUGUAGUACGUUUGUAGUUACAAGACUUACUUACUACAGGUGAAAUUUUGCCAUUAUCUCCCUUACUGUACGUACAGUACACACUCUUUUAAAAAACAAUUACUGUAAAUCACCAAAAUUGUUUUUUCCUGUUCCAAUGGUUGUAGUAAAUUUGUAUUUACAAGACUGAAAUACUACAGGUGAAUUUAUGCCAAUAUCUCCCUUACUGUACGUACAGUACAUAAUAAUUCUUUAAAAACAAUUACUGUAAAUCACCAAAAGGGUUUUUUCAUGUUCCAAAGGUUGUAGUAAGUUUGUUUUUUCAAGACUGACUUACUACAGGUGAAUGUUUGCCAAUAUCUCCCUUACUGUACGUACAGUACAUAAUAAUUCUUUUUAAAAAAUACUGUAAAUUACCAAAAGGGUUUUUUCAUGUUACAAAGGUUGUAGUACACUUGUAGUUACAAGACUGACUUGCUACAGGUGAGAUUUUGCCAUUACCACACUUACUCUAUAUACUGUAUACUGUCUACUGGUCACUACUGAAUAUUUGUUUGGUAAAUACAUUAGCCACGAGUAGGUAUUGGAACUGCUGUUGUUUCUACAACAUAUUUUCUUAAUCGAUACAUAAAACAAAAACAAUACACAAAAGAUUAUUUUUUUAAUUCAAAAAUUAAAACACAUUCUCACCGUUAUAACAUCCUUUUCAAAUCUUAAAGUGCAAAAUGACACAUACUUUUUCACAAAGUUUAAGUUACCUUUCAAAUGUCAAUAUUGUAACACAUUACCAAUAUUUAAGUGGACUUUUUUUAAACUAGACACACAUUGUGCAAUACCACUGGGCAUCCUUUCCAAGUAUAUUGUCCUGAGACAGUCCAAGGCAGCAUGCAUGGAACCAUCGUUGGCACUGUUCACACUGUAUCUUCAAAAGUAAA